AAACAGAAUAAAGUUAAAAAACUAAAACCUGAAUUUCCUAUAUACACACCUUUAGAAAGUAUAUAGAUUCACUCUUAUGAUCAUGGAACUUCUAUAGAAGAAAUUGAGGAACAAAUGGAUGAUUGGUUGGAAAACAGGAACUGAACACAGAAGAAAAAAUGCACCUGAAUGGACAGAAGAGGACCUCAGCCAACUGAUAAGAAGUAUGGUUAAGUUCCCAGGAGGGACUCCAGGUCGAUGGGAAAAGAUUGCCCACGAAUUGGGUCGAUCUGUGACACAU
rnacentral:lncRNA from 1 species